GACGAACGCUGGCGGCGUGCCUAAUACAUGCAAGUUGAGCGCUGAAGGUUGGUACUUGUACCAACUGGAUGAGCAGCGAACGGGUGAGUAACGCGUGGGGAAUCUGCCUUUGAGCGGGGGACAACAUUUGGAAACGAAUGCUAAUACCGCAUAAAAACUUUAAACACAAGUUUUAAGUUUGAAAGAUGCAAUUGCAUCACUCAAAGAUGAUCCCGCGUUGUAUUAGCUAGUUGGUGAGGUAAAGGCUCACCAAGGCGAUGAUACAUAGCCGACCUGAGAGGGUGAUCGGCCACAUGUGGACUGGGACACGGCCCAAACUCCUACGGGAGGCAGCAGUAGGGAAUCUUCGGCAAUGGACGAAAGUCUGACCGAGCAACGCCGCGGGAGUGAAGAAGGUUUUCGGAUCGUAAAACUCUGUUGGUAGGGAAGAACGUUGGUGAGAGUGGAAAGCUCAUCAAGUGACGGUAACUACACAGAAAGGGACGGCUAACUACGUG
rnacentral:rRNA from 1 species